rnacentral:rRNA from 1 species
GACGAACGCUGGCGGCGUGCUUAACACAUGCAAGUCGAACGGAAAGGCCCUGCUUUUGUGGGGUGCUCGAGUGGCGAACGGGUGAGUAACACGUGAGUAACCUGCCCUUGACUUUGGGAUAACUUCAGGAAACUGGGGCUAAUACCGGAUAGGAGCUCCUGCUGCAUGGUGGGGGUUGGAAAGUUUCGGCGGUUGGGGAUGGACUCGCGGCUUAUCAGCUUGUUGGUGGGGUAGUGGCUUACCAAGGCUUUGACGGGUAGCCGGCCUGAGUGGGUGGCCGGCCACAUUGGGACUGAGAUACGGCCCAGACGCCUACGGGAGGCAGCAGUGGGGAAUAUUGCACAAUGGGCGGAAGCCUGAUGCAGAAACGCCGCGUGCGGGAUGACGGCCUUCGGGUUGUAAACCGCUUUCGCCUGUGACGAAGCGUGAGUGACGGUAAUGGGUAAAGAAGCACCGGCUAACUACGUG